GGAGCCUGUGGAGGUAGCAGCUGAUUUAAGCAUGCUUCAAGUAACCCCCUUAUACAGAACGGCAUGUCAAAAUGCUGCCAAUGACGCUGCCAUGAGUUGAACCGGGAGCCGAACAACUUACAGGAAUACCCACAAAAAACACCAAUCAACACCAAAGAAAGAGUUAAGAAAAAAUCUAAAAGAGCCAUGCCUCCUACGAACCCCUCACCUGCCUGAUUCUAAAGGUUGUUUCUGGACUCGGAGACUGGGCCCUGUCAAUCUGUCCCACCAUUAGCUUUUGUAGCCGAGGACACAGAGUGGUCGACUACUCCUCACGGGGUCUCACCGAGAUACCUUCCAGUCUACAGCAAAACAACUACUCCUCAAAUCUCUCCUUCCAUAGAUCAGUAACUCCAGCACCUAACAAUUUUUAAUGUGUUGAAUGCGGAUAUUAAAUGUUCUGAAAUGAA